rnacentral:rRNA from 1 species
GACGAACGCUGGCGGCGUGCUUAACACAUGCAAGUCGAGCGGUAAGGCCCUUUCGGGGGUACGACGAGCGGCGAACGGGUGAGUAACACGUGGGUGACCUGCCCUCAGCUCUGGGAUAAGCCUGGGAAACCGGGGUCUAAUACUGGAUAUGACUCCAUGACGCAUGUUGUGGGGUGGAAAGCCUUGUGCGGCUGAGGAUGGGCCCGCGGCCUAUCAGCUUGUUGGUGGGGGAUGGCCUACCAAGGCGACGACGGGUAGCCGGCCUGAGAGGGCGACCGGCCACACUGGGACUGAGACACGGCCCAGACUCCUACGGGAGGCAGCAGUGGGGAAUCUUGCGCAAUGGGCGAAAGCCUGACGCAGCGACGCCGCGUGA